AGCGAACGCUGGCGGCAGGCUUAACACAUGCAAGUCGAGCGGGCACUUCGGUGUCAGCGGCAGACGGGUGAGUAACACGUGGGAACGUACCCUUCGGUUCGGAAUAACGCUGGGAAACUAGCGCUAAUACCGGAUACGCCCUUUUGGGGAAAGGUUUACUGCCGAAGGAUCGGCCCGCGUCUGAUUAGCUAGUUGGUGGGGUAAUGGCCUACCAAGGCGACGAUCAGUAGCUGGUCUGAGAGGAUGAUCAGCCACACUGGGACUGAGACACGGCCCAGACUCCCACGGGAGGCAGCAGUGGGAAAUAUUGGACAAUGGGCGCAAGCCUGAUCCAGCCAUGCCGCGUGAGUGAUGAAGGCCUUAGGGUUGUAAAGCUCUUUUGUCCGGGACGAUAAUGACGGUACCGGAAGAAUAAGCCCCGGCUAACUUCGUG
rnacentral:rRNA from 1 species